UGUAAGUAUACAAAAAUAAUAAAUACAUAGGUACAAGAAUAAAAUAUAACUAAUUACUUAUAGAUGAUGAGUGAACAAAAACAAAAAAAACAGCGAAAAACCUGGGCAACAGAGGAUGAAACGGUUUUGUUGGAGUUGUGGGCGGACAAACAGGCUGAAUUGAUCGACAAGAGAAAAAAUUCUCACGUUUAUAAGGAAAUGGCAGAGAUUUUGGUAGGAUCACAACUUAUCGAAUCGGUAUAGGAAGGAAGAGAAAUUGGUUGGCCCUUCUGUAAAUGCAAUUCUGGAAAAAAGACCCCUAAGUAACAUUGAAAAUCUACAAGAGGACAGCUUUAUGGAAACAAUUUUCUCCUCUCAAGAUUCAUCUCAAAACUCAUUGCCGGAGAUGUUUUCCGCUCCUGCCACUGCAUGCCGUUGUUCCGUCGGCUGCUCCGUCCGUUUCCAGAUGAACCGGACCGUUCAUCUUCAUCAAAUUCAACCGCUGGAAAAAAGAGGAAGAGAAAUCAAAGAGAUGAGGAAUUUCAAAAGCAGGAUGAAAUAAUAUUAGAAAAUUUCAAACUUAUAAGAGAAACGGAUGAGAAAAUAAUAUUGAUUGAGGAGAAAAGAAACCAAAUACUAGAAAGAAUUGCAAAAUCUUGCGAAUCUCUUCAACAAGAUUUUGCACUUUCAACCCAGAGGAGUUUCUUGAGAUAAAAUUCAAAAAAUAGUGCAGUACGCAACAAGAUUUGAUGAUAAGGUUGGUGUUUUCGAUUUGAUUGUCUAGCCCUUUUCCGAUUCUCCGAAACCUAGCCUUUAAAUGACCAAAGGCAUUCUCGACAACUCUUCUGCUCUUUGAUAGAUAGUAGUUGAAAUUUUUUUCAACUGGAGUUAAGGCAAUGCUAAAGGGAUAUGGUUUCAUAAGAACAUCGGAAAAUUUAAAUGCCGAAUCUCCAAUAAAAACGACAGGAACAUUAAAAUUGCAAAGGUUUCUUGACAUGUUCUUUAGUAUAGGAUUCUCAUGCUGUAUUCUAACGGAAGAAUUUUCAAAAAUUUGGGAAUCGUUGCACCGGCCUGGACUACCAACAUUUAUGUAAAUGAAUCUAUAUCUAAAUUAAUUGAACAUAAGAAUAAAUGAAGGUUCUUUUAUAAAAUGUUUACAUGAAAUCGACAAUGGCUAGCAGUACCGUCGAGUACCAACCCUUAUAAUUAUAGUAAUUCUAAAUUCUAAAACAUACACGGAAGACUUAUUUUGAAUGAAAACAUUGUACAAAAAGGA